CUUUUCGUAAGGGUGACCUGCGGAAGGAUCAUUACAAGAAUGGNUGGCUGGUCGUGCUUGGUCGCGUCCAGUCCCACUCCUUACCUUGCCUACUGCACUGUUUGUUGCUUCCUGGCGGCGGCGUCCCGCCGCCAGGAGGUUUUCAUAAAGUCUUGUAUAAGCAUUGAUCAUUCUGAUAUACACAAAAUCGUACAACUUUCAACAAUGGAUCUCUUGGUUCUGGCAUCGAUGAAGAACGCAGCGAAAUGCGAUAAGUAGUGUGAAUUGCAGAAUUCAGUGAAUCAUCGAAUCUUUGAACGCACAUUGCGCCCCUUGGUAUUCCAUGGGGCAUGCCUGUUCGAGCGUCAUCUGAACCCUCAAGCCCCUCGGUGUUGCCCUGCCUCUGGCGAGGGCUCCGCCUGGUUUGGUGUUGGGCGCCUGUCCCCGCUUCCCGCGCGGACUCGCCCCGAAUGCAUUGGCAGCGGCCUCCCGGCUCCUUGCGCAGCACAGCGCGCAGAGGGGCGCGGCCCGGCUCGCGUCCAGCAAGCAAACCCCCAAGUUUGACCUCGGAUCAGGUAGGGAUACCCGCUGAACUUAAGCAUAUCAAUAAGCGGAGGAA
rnacentral:rRNA from 1 species